UCGAGUCAAUGGGUCACCAGAUCAAGCAUGGAACUGACUCGUUUGUGCAUGGCAUUUACUCAUUUGCCCUCGUGGCGAAUCUCAGAGUUAGAAGGACGGAUUUGGGGGUCACAAGGAAGGGUCUAGGGCCCAUAGGGGCGAGGUAUUGUCAAGGGUGCGCGUGCAGGCCUUAGUAUCACAUGAACGAGUCUAAUAGUCAUUGUGGUGUCCUCACAUUCGAAGAUGAGAUUAAUUCUCGUUCGGGAUUUGGCUUGUUUUUUGUCACAAAGUGUUUUCAGCGGGUUUCGAAUUCCUGUCAUUGAGGCAUUAGGUAGCUCGUCGACUGGAAGUGACACUUUACCAAUCACACCAUACCUUGUAGUUGACACGCAAAUAAUUUCACAAAAAUGAAACUAGAGAGCUUCUUGAUCUCACCAGAAGUCAGCUAUUAUAAAACUUCCACGCAAUAGUCUCCUAACAAUACUUAUUGUUUCC
rnacentral:lncRNA from 1 species